AGUGAACGCUGGCGGUAGGCCUAACACAUGCAAGUCGAACAGCAGCACAGGAGAGCUUGCUCUCUGGGUGGCGAGUGGCGGACGGGUGAGGAAUACAUCGGAAUCUACUUUUUCGUGGGGGGUAACGUAGGGAAACUUACGCUAAUACCGCAUACGACCUACGGGUGAAAGCAGGGGAUCUUCGGACCUUGCGCGAUUGUAUGAGCCGAUGUCGGAUUAGCUAGUUGGCGGGGUAAAGGCCCACCAAGGCGACGAUCCGUAGCUGGUCUGAGAGGAUGAUCAGCCACACUGGAACUGAGACACGGUCCAGACUCCUACGGGAGGCAGCAGUGGGGAAUAUUGGACAAUGGGCGCAAGCCUGAUCCAGCCAUACCGCGUGGGUGAAGAAGGCCUUCGGGUUGUAAAGCCCUUUUGUUGGGAAAGAAAUCCAGCUGGUUAAUACCCGGUUGGGAUGACGGUACCCAAAGAAUAAGCACCGGCUAACUUCGUGCCAGCCGCCGCGGUAA
rnacentral:rRNA from 1 species